rnacentral:rRNA from 1 species
AGUGAACGCUGGCGGUAGGCCUAACACAUGCAAGUCGAACGGCAGCGCAGUAAGAGCUUGCUCUUACGGGUGGCGAGUGGCGGACGGGUGAGGAAUACAUCGGAAUCUACUUUUUCGUGGGGGAUAACGUAGGGAAACUUACGCUAAUACCGCAUACGACCUACGGGUGAAAGCAGGGGAACUUCGGACCUUGCGCGAUUGAAUGAGCCGAUGUCGGAUUAGCUAGUUGGCGGGGUAAAGGCCCACCAAGGCGACGAUCCGUAGCUGGUCUGAGAGGAUGAUCAGCCACACUGGAACUGAGACACGGUCCAGACUCCUACGGGAGGCAGCAGUGGGGAAUAUUGGACAAUGGGCGCAAGCCUGAUCCAGCCAUACCGCGUGGGUGAAGAAGGCCUUCGGGUUGUAAAGCCCUUUUGUUGGGAAAGAAAAGCAGCAGGUUAAUACCCCGCUGUUCUGACGGUACCCAAAGAAUAAGCACCGGCUAACUUCGUG